AAUCAACGCUGGCGGCGUGCCUCAGACAUGCAAGUCGAACGAUUAAACUUGCCUUCGGGCAAGAUAUAAAGUGGCGCACGGGUGAGUAACACGUAAGUAAUCUACCUUCGAGUGGGGAAUAACGUCGGGAAACCGACGCUAAUACCGCAUAAUGCAGCGGCACCUAAUGGUGACAGUUGUUAAAGGAGCAAUUCGCUUGAAGAGGAGCUUGCGGCAGAUUAGCUAGUUGGAAGGUAAUGGCUUACCAAGGCUACGAUCUGUAACCGGUCUAAGAGGACGGUCGGUCACACUGACACUGAAUAACGGGUCAGACUCCUACGGGAGGCAGCAGUCGGGAAUUUUGGGCAAUGGGCGAAAGCCUGACCCAGCAACGCCGCGUGAAGGACGAAGUCUUUC
rnacentral:rRNA from 1 species